CUUAGUGGCGAACGGGUGAGUAACACGUGAGUAACCUGCCCCAGAGUGGGGGACAACAGUUGGAAACGACUGCUAAUACCGCAUAAGCCCACGACCCGGCAUCGGGUAGAGGGAAAAGGAGCAAUCCGCUUUGAGAUGGCCUCGCGUCCGAUUAGCUAGUUGGUGAGGUAACGGCCCACCAAGGCGACGAUCGGUAGCCGGACUGAGAGGUUGAACGGCCACAUUGGGACUGAGACACGACCCAG
rnacentral:rRNA from 1 species